GGAGCCAUUUGAGGACUACUACAAGGAGGAAGAAUACUAAGGUUCACACCGAUUCAAUUUGAAUACCUAUUAGGCAUUGCAACUAGUAUGCUAGCGCUCUAUUUCAAUGAAUGAUGAUGAUAAAACUUGCAUAGCCUACUUUAUGCCUUGAAUCCUUGAUGCCUACUACCAAACUACUUAUAUAUGCUAUGUGCGAUGCUUGCAUGUGUAUGCGAUAUUGUGAUUAGGAUUCUUGGCGUGAGUGGGGAUAAAACCGGCAGGAGAAGGUGAUUUUGGGAUAUUUGGCGAGGGUGAGCUUUAGACAACCCAAUCAUCAUACGUCCACUGGGUCUUCGUUAGAUUGGGGGCUUGGGGUUCAUUCUCAGAUGUUCCCUAUUUUGUACCUGUUGCGGGUACACGGAUGACGGAUAAGGAGCAUAGGAGUUGGAGAUGGUAGCACCAGUAAUGGGUGAGUUGCGUCCGCCGUGGUAAGGCACUUUCAUGGAAGAUUAGGAACUCGCCCCGGUCUGAAGCUAAGUGGGUUGCUAUACUUCACAUGAAUAUGUAAAUGUGCACACCACUCGCCGAUAUGGGUAAGGCCUCGGUCGAGACUAGCAAGUGCGACACCAUACCCGCC
rnacentral:lncRNA from 1 species